AACCCGACUGCACAGACAAAAGUCUCCCCUUUACACAGGGCUGCCCUCAUUGUUUCCAACAGCUUUGUGCUUUCCCUGGGGGAAGACGAGAGUCACAGAGCAAGUUUUCUUCCUCUUUUCUCACGCUGCAGAGGAAGUGAUGUUGUGGAAACAGUCGCUUCAGCUGGGUCUGCAAACCGCAUCGUCGGAGUCGGCGUUGGGAAUAACACAAAGCUGGGUGGCAUUCCUAGGACUUGUCUACCCCGGGGCUCCAGGCAACCUGACUGGGUCUAAGCAUGGGGAUGACGGGCAAUCGCAGGUGGCAGGAAGCAAGAGAAGCAAUGCUGGAGAAUCAUUUCUUCCCCGGGGCGCGGAUGCUCCUGACUCCUUGAGCCUGCUUCCUCUGGGAGCGCUGUUCAUUUACUCUCUCCGUUCAUGUAUUGGACCACAUUUCGGGAUCACCCACUCUGUGCCGGGCAUCCUGCGAGGUCUGCGUAUCCAAAGGGGCCUUAAGCAAUCUCGGGAGCAAUUUUCCUCGCCUGGAACACCGCCCUCGGGAAGCUGGCGGUGAUCUGCUGCCGCGAGGCCCCAGGUGAAGGACAGCCCUCCAGCCCCAGCGUCGGAGCCGGAGCCGGGGGGUGGCGAGCCCGAG
rnacentral:lncRNA from 1 species